GUGUGUACCUGCCUGUCAGUGUGUGUGUCAGGUAUCAGGAGGGACAGGCUUUCUGUUUCCUUGUGAUAGAACCUGAUCUUGUAACCCAGUCCAGACGUUGUCCUAACGACACUGUAAUACCAUGACCCCAGACACCCCAGGUCCCAUGGGCGGCUCGCUGGCAGAGAAAAAAAUGGUCUCUGUCGCUCUAGUCUGGUCUGGACAGAGCUGCUCCUCUGCUACACAUUGGCCUGGUAGUGGAGGAGGAGGAAGCUUUGCUGGUUCCCAAGAGAAAGUGACCUUCAUGGCCUAGAAAUCAAAAUAACCACGUCGGUGGCCAUCUUAGCCUUCACUGCAGCUGGCACGGAACACAACAAUGAACCAAUCCAUCAUGGGAUAGAGUCCUGCUGGUACAGCUCAGGGACGAAAGUAUCCAACUAUCCUACCUUAUAUCCUGGCCUAUGUCCUCCUGGUUUUGACCCUUUCCUGUUUCUGGACUCUGUACCCGCCUGCCUGACCAUUCUACCUGCCUUGACCACGAGCCUGUCUGCCACGCUGUACCUCCUGGACUCUGAUCUGGUUCUCACCUUUUGCCUGUCCAUGACCGUUCUCUUGCC
rnacentral:lncRNA from 1 species